rnacentral:misc_RNA from 1 species
UCCGAGUUGUCCCCGGCAGUCUCCUUAGAGUCCCCGCCAUUACGCGCUGGCAACUAAGGACAGGGGUUGCGCUCGUUGCGGCACUUAAGCCAACACCUCACGACACGAGCUGACGACAGCCAUGCACCACCUGUGAUCGAGUCCCGAAGGAGGGCCGUAUUUCUACGGCUUUCCCGACCAUGUCAAGCCUUGGUAAGGUUCUUCGCGUUGCGUCGAAUUAAACCACAUGCUCCGCUGCUUGUGCGGGCCCCCGUCAAUUCCUUUGAGUUUUAGCCUUGCGGCCGUAGUCCCCAGGCGGAGGACUUAUCGCGUUAGCUUCGGCACCGAGGGGGUCGAUACCCCCGACACCUAGUCCUCAUCGUUUACAGCGUGGACUAC